rnacentral:rRNA from 1 species
CCAGACUCCUACGGGAGGCAGCAGUGGGGAAUAUUGCACAAUGGGGGAAACCCUGAUGCAGCGACGCCGCGUGAGUGAAGAAGUAUUUCGGUAUGUAAAGCUCUAUCAGCAGGGAAGAAAAUGACGGUACCUGAUUAAGAAGCCCCGGCUAACUACGUGCCAGCAGCCGCGGUAAUACGUAGGGGGCAAGCGUUAUCCGGAUUUACUGGGUGUAAAGGGAGCGUAGACGGCGAUGCAAGUCAGAAGUGAAAGCCCGCGGCUCAACUGCGGGACUGCUUUUGAAACUGUAUAGCUUGAGUGCGGGAGAGGUAAGCGGAAUUCCUAGUGUAGCGGUGAAAUGCGUAGAUAUUAGGAAGAACACCAGUGGCGAAGGCGGAUUACUGGACGACAACUGACGGUGAGGCGCGAAAGCGCGGGGAGCAAACAGGAUUAGAUACCCGGGUA